ACGGAAGGCAGCAGUGGGGAAUAUUGCACAAUGGGGGAAACCCUGAUGCAGCGACGCCGCGUGAGUGAAGAAGUAUUUCGGUAUGUAAAGCUCUAUCAGCAGGGAAGAAAAUGACGGUACCUGACUAAGAAGCCCCGGCUAACUACGUGCCAGCAGCCGCGGUAAUACGUAGGGGGCAAGCGUUAUCCGGAUUUACUGGGUGUAAAGGGUGCGUAGGCGGCACGGCAAGUCAGAAGUGAAAUCCCAGGGCUCAACCCUGGAACUGCUUUUGAAACUGUCGAGCUAGAGUACAGGAGAGGUAAGCGGAAUUCCUAGUGUAGCGGUGAAAUGCGUAGAUAUUAGGAGGAACACCGGUGGCGAAGGCGGCUUUCUGGACUGUAACUGACGCUGAGGUACGAAAGCGUGGGGAGCAAACAGGAUUAGAUACCCUGGUA
rnacentral:rRNA from 1 species